rnacentral:rRNA from 1 species
CACGUAGGGUGCGAGCGUUGUCCGGAAUUAUUGGGCGUAAAGGGCGCGUAGGCGGCCUUCUAAGUCAGACGUGAAAUCCCUCGGCUCAACCGAGGAACUGCGUCUGAUACUGGAAGGCUUGAAUCCGGGAGAGGGAUGUGGAAUUCCAGGUGUAGCGGUGAAAUGCGUAGAUAUCUGGAGGAACACCGGUGGCGAAGGCGGCAUCCUGGACCGGUAUUGACGCGUGAGGCGCGAAAGCUAGGGGAGCAAACGGG